ACUCUGCCUCGUGCAGAGAGUGGGAGGCCGGGAAGUUGUUCAAACUUGAUCAUUUAGAGGAAGUAAAAGUCGUAACAAGGUUUCCGUAGGUGAACCUGCGGAAGGAUCAUUACCGAGUAGCUAGCUACCUACCUCCACUGGCCGCGAGUCAGUGAAUGAGUGGGGUGUUUACUACCGUGUGAACCGACUGAAAAAUUUUUUAGGGGUCGGCUCGUUCCGUUAAAAGGGGAGCACCGUGAUGAGCCACCGGCUGGCUGGCUGGCUGGCUGGUGAGCCUCGCGGUGGGCUCCUGCCCCGACAGUGUUUUUUAAAAGGACACAUUUGAUGUAAAAGACUGAGCGCAGUGAGAGAGAUAUGUUCUAACAUAGAAAAAUAAAAGUGUGACAACUUUUGACGGUGGAUCUCUAGGCUCACGCAUCGAUGAAGAACGCAGCCAGCUGCGAUAAGUAGUGUGAAUUGCAGAAUUCAGUGAAUCAUCGAAUCUU
rnacentral:misc_RNA from 1 species